rnacentral:misc_RNA from 1 species
CGGCUACCCUAAAGUCACCGUUGCCUGAACGCAGGUUAUUCAAAUUUUGUUAGAGUGCUGCUACAACAGUUUGGAUACUUAUAUUUCUGAUUUCCGUAAUGGCUGCGAGAAUCCUUGCAAACAUAAUUAUUUUGGGUUCUGGAAUAAUGGCAAGGGCCUUUGCCCAGGCAUAUCGCCAAGCUCUCACAAAUGCAUCAAAAAAUGGUGUUGCUCAAGAAGCAGUACAAAACAUUAGAAGAGCAAGCAAAACUAUGACAGAGGUGGAGGCUAGGCAAGUCCUUGGGGUUGCAGAGCAUUCAUCAUGGGAAGACGUGUUGCAGAAAUAUGACAACUUGUUUGAGAGUAAUGCUAAAAAUGGAAGUUUUUAUCUACAAUCAAAAGUUCAUAGAGCGAAGGAAUGCUUAGAAUCUCUUUACCGAAGUAAAGCAGAGGGCCCAAAUUAGUUCUUUGAAGUUCCUGCAGCAUUGCAGCUAGAGACAUUCUGGGCUCUUGUAAGGAGUAUCUUCAGUAGAGGGUAAUUGCUUUCUACCAUCAGAUGGUCUCCUGCAAUGUUACAUACAUAUUCGAUCCUCAAUUUUG